UACGUAGGGUGCGAGCGUUGUCCGGAAUUAUUGGGCGUAAAGAGCUCGUAGGCGGUUUGUCGCGUCGUCUGUGAAAACCCACGGCUCAACUGUGGGCUUGCAGUCGAUACGGGCAGGCUAGAGUUCGGUAGGGGAGACUGGAAUUCCUGGUGUAGGCGGUGAAAUGCGCAGAUAUCAGGAGGAACACCGGUGGCGAAGGCGGGUCUCUGGGCCGAUGACUGACGCUGGAGGAGCGAAAGCGUGGGGAGCGAACAGGA
rnacentral:rRNA from 1 species